rfam:Drosophila simulans chromosome 3L, whole genome shotgun sequence.
UCUACAUGAUGUUAACAGCUUGUAAUGAUUAUGCAUUGUGAUUAUUCAAGUUUAUUUUGUUUCAAGACGGGACUGACUAUAUUA